AGUCCGUUUGACAAAGUAUUAGUUCCCAUACUCUACCGAACUGACUAGUUGCGUCUGGCCCUCCACCCAAAUUAAAACUUAAAAUAGCUGACAACGGGUUCUAUUCCAAUUACCAACGACGACACAUGAAAUCUGACGCAUUUGAUAGAAUGCUUGGUGGUCAUCCUUGGCAUAUAUCUUGAUUCUACUUAUUUAUUUUCCUCCUUCCCUUACAACGGUGGAAAGCGGUUUUGUAAGUUAGGAAUGCGGUUUAUGGUCCGUUAGUGACGAUAUUGAGUAAAGAUGUGAAAGUAAGGUUUAACUUUGCUUGGAUGGUAUUGUAGGGUUUAUGUGUUUGAUUUUCCGUAGUUGUUUUUGGGGCAUAUUGGCAAGAAAAUUAUAUCUUGGUGGUGGUACCUGUUAGGGUUGGAAAAAUAUUGGACAAGGUCAAGUUCUUUGUAACACGAAUUUGAAGUAAAAAAAAAUAUAAACUAAAUAAGAGAAAUGUGGAAGAAAAAAAAAACAAUCAACAAAUGAGAGAUAAGAAGACUAAGCAAUUAACAAAUGACGUACAAAGCCAACACAUACUGUACGAUGCAGUCAAUGUGAAAAGAGAAAAGCAAAUAACAAAAGCUAGACGUAGUAUCAUGUUGCAUUAUCCAGUAAUCAAAGUAUGGAAGAAAGCCUGGAUGGUAGUGUUUGUGAAGAUGACAAGGCUAUGAUAUUUGCAAACAAUGAAACCCAGCUGGAAGAAGUUUGCGAUUGCUGGUACUUGGAGGAUCACAGAUACAGAUGGAUACUUAAGUGUCAUGCCUGCUUCACUGUUACUGCUGAAAUUGAGAGGAUUUUAUCUGUCCAAAAUGUGGAAAUGGUGGCACCUUGAGGAACUGUCACUUUUAGUCCAUUUUCAUUAGUAGAGGAUGUUCAAAACUUUGGUUGGCUGGCUUUUCUGCCCCUCAAUUUUGUUUCUUAUUGCUGUUGGAAUAGAAGAACGUAAUUUAAAGCAUGCUUCAUCUGUAUAAGAUUCACGUUAUUAUAUAACUAAUUUAAAAACUUA